rnacentral:rRNA from 1 species
UACGAAGGGGGCUAGCGUUGCUCGGAAUCACUGGGCGUAAAGGGUGCGUAGGCGGGUCUUUAAGUCAGGGGUGAAAUCCUGGAGCUCAACUCCAGAACUGCCUUUGAUACUGAAGAUCUUGAGUUCGGGAGAGGUGAGUGGAACUGCGAGUGUAGAGGUGAAAUUCGUAGAUAUUCGCAAGAACACCAGUGGCGAAGGCGGCUCACUGGCCCGAUACCUGACGCUGAGGCACGAAAGCGUGGGGAGCAAAGCAGG